GGAUUGCCCUGAUGAUGUUGCAAGUUACAUACAUAGAGUUGGCCCCACGGCACGUUAUGAUUCUAAAGGGCGGUCUGUCUUAUUUCUCUUGCCUUUUGAGAUGAAAAUGCUUGAGAGAUUACAAGAGAAAAAGAUACCUGUUGAAUUUGACAAGGAUCAAGGGUUUUUGGUAGGUGAUUUUGAUGGUUUUAGAUAAGACUGCUCGCUCUAUCUACAACUGGAUGUUUUCAAUUGAGCAAGGGAUAGCUGGUUGUGCAUUACUCUAUAUGAAGACUUCACGGGAUCAGGAAGUUGAAUUAAGGUAUAGAAGAAGAUUUGAGAACAUCAUGAAGGUGAUAUCCUAAGUACUUGAUAAGAGGACCAAUUGUUCCCAAAUUGAAAAGCACGCUUGGUCGGACUUUUAGCUCACAAAGAUCAUUUAUAAAUAAAACGAGUCCGAGUAAUCAUGAUAUAGACCAAUGGCUCUAGGGAACAGGGGGUAACUUUAAACAUGAUGACAUGUGCAUUUUGUGAGGUGGACAGAUUACUUAUUGGUUCGAUUUUACACUGCAGAUUCAGUGUGGCAGGAGCCAUCUGUAUGGCUAAAAAUUCUAAGGAAUUUAUGGAACGCGAGAAACCGUAAAGUCUUUUAAUUAAAGGAACACUUCGAUCUAUAAAGUGGUGGAAGACAUAAAGGAUGAAUUGUUUGAAUGGGUAAAACAUAUAUGGCGAAAGGCACACGGGUGACAUGGAAUGAAUUGCGAAGAUUUUAUUUCUUUGUAUGUAGUAUGUUUGUUUGCUGUAGGAUGUUGCUUUACGAUCUGUAAGGAACCGAUAUAACAUCUUGCUGUUUGGUCUAUUUUGGUUAUGAGUUAAAAAUAGCAUGGUAUGGUGGCUUCAAGAUUAAGAGCUAUUGGUACA